rnacentral:rRNA from 1 species
UUUCAACGGCCGCGGUAUUCUAACCGUGCAAAGGUAGCGUAAUCACUUGUCUCCUAAAUAGAGACCAGUAUGAACGGCUAAAUGAAGACAAACCUGUCUCUUACAACCUACCAGUGAAACUGACCUCCUAGUCCAAAGGCUAGGAUAAUAACAUAAGACGAGAAGACCCUGUGGAGCUUAAAAUAUAAAACUAACAAAGCCAAACAAUAGCACAACUAGUAAAAAUUUUGAGUUGGGGCGACUUCGGAACAAAACAAAACUUCCAAGCACAGAACCACUACUUCUAACCAAGGCCAACAAGCCGAAGCAAAAACUGACCCAGUCAUACUGAUCAACGAACCAAGUUACCCCAGGGAUAACAGCGCUAUCUUCUUCAAGAGUCCAUAUCGACAAGAAGGUUUACGACCUCGAUGUUGGAUCAGGACACCCAAAUGGUGCAGCCGCUAUUAAAGGUUCGUUUGUUCAACGAUUAACAGUCCU